UUCAUCGCCUAUUCCAACACGACAGAUGGUUGCCACCUUGACUGGUCACGCAAGGGUCCCUCUGUCCCAGUGAGUUGUAUACACCAAUCUUCACACUCAAAAAAUCAACAAAAUGCGCGAAUUUGCGCAGUAAUUUGAUCCGUCUCUUCC
ensembl:ncRNA C04F1.5 ncRNA